AAUACAUGCAAGUCGAGCGGACAGAUGGGAGCUUGCUCCCUGAAGUCAGCGGCGGACGGGUGAGUAACACGUGGGCAACCUGCCUGUAAGACUGGGAUAACUCCGGGAAACCGGGGCUAAUACCGGAUAAUUCUUUCCCUCACAUGAGGGAAAGCUGAAAGAUGGUUUCGGCUAUCACUUACAGAUGGGCCCGCGGCGCAUUAGCUAGUUGGUGAGGUAACGGCUCACCAAGGCAACGAUGCGUAGCCGACCUGAGAGGGUGAUCGGCCACACUGGGACUGAGACACGGCCCAGACUCCUACGGGAGGCAGCAGUAGGGAAUCUUCCGCAAUGGACGAAAGUCUGACGGAGCAACGCCGCGUGAGUGAUGAAGGUUUUCGGAUCGUAAAACUCUGUUG
rnacentral:rRNA from 1 species